rnacentral:lncRNA from 1 species
AAAAAUGAAAUUGGACUUCAAGAGAAUAGUUUCACUAUCAACGAGAAUAAUAUGAAUCAAUUUCAAACCCCUUUCAGUUUUCAUUAACGCACUGAAAAUCGAUCAAAAUUGGUUAAUUAAAGCACUUUCGAAAAUUUGAAUUCUAACCAGAAUCCCUAUCAAUCAACGGCAUCGCAUAGUUGGGUGUUUAAAUCCAAAAGUGGAAAAAGAAA